rnacentral:rRNA from 1 species
GACGAACGCUGGCGGCGUGCCUAAUACAUGCAAGUCGAACGCAGUGGGGACGGGGGAGUAUCACGUGGGUAACCUCCCAUCAGAGAGGAUAACACUUGGCCACAGAUGCUAAACCGACACUGAUGGAUGGACCCGCGGUGCAUUCGCUAGUUGGGGAGGUAACGGCUCACCAUGGCCACGAUGCAUAGCGGACCUGAGAGGGUGACCGGCCAAACUGGAACUGAGAGACGGACCAGACUCCUACGAGAGGCAGCAGUGGGGAAUCUGAGGCAAUGGACGCAAGUCUGACCGAGCAACGCCGCGCGAGUGAAGAAGGUUUUCGGAGCGGAAAACUCUGUUGUUAGGGAGGCGGUAUCUAACCAGAAAGCCACGGCUAACUACGUGCCAGCAGCCGCGGUAAUUC